AUCUGUUUCUCCUGGAUUGGUCCCUGGUGCCUUAUUUACUUCAUUUGUGUGGCUAAGCUGUCACUUAUGCCACAAGAUGGAAGCAGAGGAGCCUCACCCUGUAGCUACUACCAACCGAGGCCAUGCUUCCACAGUGGUGUAACAAGGCAAUGGGAAUUCACUCCACAAAUCCCAGUACCACAAGAAGUUAUCUGUAAGGUCUCCAGGGAUGAGAUAAUCUACAUAUUUCCUCAUGUCUGUUAUAAUGGCAUUCUAGCCCAACAUAAUCAUGUCCAUCUCUUGGAAUGCAUUGUGUAGACUUUAACUUAUAUGGUUCUGCUCUACUAAUGAAGUCAGUCUCUUUAAAAAAUGUUCAGAGAAACUAAUAAAGGAUUAUAAGCAACAAAAGGAUACGGCCUAAGCCAAGUCAAGCCAUUCUUGCUAUCAAUUCUGGAACAAAUAUAUUAAUGAUAUUCCUGUGUCUCUAAUUUUAUAUAACAAACAGACAAUCAUUCUUCCAUCAUUUCUAUUUCCUUUUUUUUUUUUUUUUUUUUUUGAGAUGAAGUCUUGUUCUGUUGCCCAGGCUGGAGUGCAGUGGCAUGAUCUCGGCUCACUGCCACCUCCACUUCCUGAGUUCAAGUGAUUCUUCUGCCUCAGCCUCCCGAGUAGCUGGGACUAGUGCCGCCAUGCCUGGCUAAUUUUUUAUUUUUAUUUUUUUGUAUUUUUAGUAGAGAUAGGGUUUCACCAUGUUAGCCAGGAUGGUCUCGAUCUCCUGACCUCGUGAUCCACCUGCCUUGGCCUCCCAAAGUGCUGGGAUUACAGGUGUGAGCCACCGCACGUGGCCUCUUCCAUCAUUUCUUUGACCAUGCCUAGGGACCAUCAGUAACCCUAAUGAAAAAUGAUCUUUGUUCUUUUCUGCUUUUGCUUAGUGCUGGUUUUUGGCUCUUCUAAUCAAAUGAGUCAUUCCUGGAAUGUUCAGUUUGUUUUAUGGUUGUGGCACUCCAGGAAAGCAGGGCAGUUCACCUGCCCCAUUCCACAGCUGACUGUAGCUGAGAAAGCUCCCAACAUCUGUGUCUAUAAUAAAAAGCCUGCAAAAGGAAAAUAAAUCAUGUUUCCACCUCCAUUUUUUCCUGCACAUUAAAGGCUGAUCACUGAAAGUCAUGAUCUUGGCUCUGAAUUGGGUUGCAGCAUUUGAUCUGAUGGCACACAAAGCGAGAUCAAUAUCUGCCACCAUAAAAAGUCAAUGAAACAUAAAUUAGGAAGAGAAAAUUUUCUAACUCUGGCCCCAAGCAGUGACUAGUUGGGUGCAAGCCAUACAUUUGGGCAAUGAAAAAAGAAAGCAGCUUUACUUAACAGCAGGGUAGACUAUACUAGGAUUAUAUUUUGUGCUAUUCCUACUUCUCUUUAUUGAUCUGCAUAUAAUGAAUUGAAGCAUGAUGAUUCUCUCUCCAAAGUUACUCAAGAGUUUACUAAAAUGUUAUCAGAAAGUUUCUAACUGUGGCUAUAAAAGUAUGUGAAACCAAUCCAGGCACUGGUGACUGCUGACUAUAAGCAUUUUGAUAAUAUAAGAUGAUAUUGGUCAGCCCAAGACAAGGUCUUAUCUGACAUCUGUAAGAAUGUUUUAAAGUUGUAAUUCAGUUGGCUGUUGAGAAACAAAUGUGUCUCCUCUCUGUCCUUGAUUU
rnacentral:lncRNA from 10 species